rnacentral:rRNA from 1 species
CACGUAGGGUGCGAGCGUUGUCCGGAAUUAUUGGGCGUAAAGAGCUCGUAGGCGGUGUGUCGCGUCGGCCGUGAAAACCUGUGGCUUAACUAUGGGCGUGCGGUCGAUACGGGCAUCACUGGAGUUCGGCAGGGGAGACUGGAAUUCCUGGUGUAGCGGUGAAAUGCGCAGAUAUCAGGAGGAACACCGGUGGCGAAGGCGGCAUCCUGGACCAAUUCUGACACUGAGGAGCGAAAGCCAGGGGAGCAAACGGG